UACGGAGGGUGCGAGCGUUGUCCGGAAUCACUGGGCGUAAAGGGCGCGUAGGCGGCCUGAUAAGUAGGGGGGUGAAAUCUUGCGGCUUAACCGCAAGGCUGCCUUCUAAACUGUCGGGCUCGAGCACAGUAGAGGCAGGUGGAAUUCCCGGUGUAGCGGUGGAAUGCGUAGAGAUCGGGAAGAACAUCAGUGGCGAAGGCGGCCUGCUGGGGCUGUUGCUGACGCUGAGGCGCGACAGCGUGGGGGAGCGAACAGG
rnacentral:rRNA from 1 species